rnacentral:tRNA from 1 species
GGGAAUGUAAUUCAGUGGUGCAGUGCUUGCCUAGCAUGCAUGACAUUCUGGGUUCAAUCCUCAGCACUCA